rnacentral:antisense_RNA from 1 species
GGCUAGAUGUGGAAACAGCAAGAGAACUAGAAUUGGAAGUAAAGCGUUGAAGAUGUGACUGAAUUGCUGCAAUCUCAUGAUCAAAUUUGAAUGGAUGAGGAGUUGCUUCUUAGGGAUAAGCUAAGAAAGUGGUUUCUUGAGAUGGAAUCUACUGGUUGCUCCUUGAGGGCAGGACAGUUCUUAUGGCUUUAUCUGUUGCUUAAGCACAGAGAGAGGUCUGUGAGGUCAAAACUGUUGUCAUGAUAGCAAGAUGCUUGUCUUUUUCAUUUAUUCUCACAGUGUGCAGAGGCUACAUGAUUUGUGAUGACAUCCUCAUUGUUGUUAAUGAAUGGUGCUAUACUUGAAUUUUCUAAGGUGUCGUUAGAUGAGGUCUUGCUCAGCCUAUUCACAGCUGCCAUCAUAGUGAACUACAGCCUGAAACUCCUGGGUUCAAGCGAUCCUCCUGCCUCAGCUUCCUGAGUAGCUGGAACUAUAGGCAUGCACCACCAAGCCUGGGCUUUUAAAAAAAUUUAAAAAAAAACUUUUUUUGAGACAGGAUCUUGCCAUGUUGCUCAGGCUAGCCUUCAACUCGUAGCCCUGAGUGAUCUUGCUUUGGGGCUCCCAAAAUGUUGAGUUAAUAGGUGUGAGCCACCAUACCACCCAGCCAAAAAUUUUUUUAGAGAUGGGAA